rnacentral:lncRNA from 1 species
AGUGUUUCCUGCAGCUUUUAAAAAGGGCAGGGUAAUUGUUAGCUCAGAGGGCACAUUAAGCGCGAUAGACAACAAUUUUAGGGCACUUACUUAACAUAAACAGGCAAUUUCUAUAAAAUGGAUUCAUUUAAAAAAUACUAGUUUAAUGACCUCUUAAUAGUUAUUGUUCAAAAUAUAUACAUGUAACAGACUUCUUUCUGGGUCUAUCAUAUUCUUGAUGUGGGACCACAUUGAAAAAAAAAUGUUGGUUUGCCAAAGCCAGAGUUCCAUAAAAAAGAUCAGGGUGAUAGGUUGGUUUUUUUUUUUAAAUAUGAAUGGACUAUUUAAAAUGAUUAACUUAAAGAAUUUGUCUGGUCAUUUUUAGUAACCAAAAUUUAGUAAAUUACAAAAAAAAAAAAAAUAACUUUACAAAUUAACCCCUUCCCCUCUACACCCUUUUCCAAAUUAAAUUAAUAUAGAUACACCAAGUUUUACUACUUUCAUG